rnacentral:rRNA from 1 species
CGGCAACAGCUCAAAUUUGAAAUCUGGCCCUCGUGGUCCGAGUUGUAAUUUGUAGAGGAUGCUUUUGGUGCGGUGCCUUCCGAGUUCCCUGGAACGGGACGCCAUAGAGGGUGAGAGCCCCGUCUGGUUGGACACCAAUCCUCUGUAAAGCUCCUUCGACGAGUCGAGUAGUUUGGGAAUGCUGCUCUAAAUGGGAGGUAUAUGUCUUCUAAAGCUAAAUACUGGCCAGAGACCGAUAGCGCACAAGUAGAGUGAUCGAAAGAUGAAAAGCACUUUGAAAAGAGGGUUAAAUAGUACGUGAAAUUGUUGAAAGGGAAGCGUUUGUGACCAGACUUGGGCUUGGUUAAUCAUCCGGCGUUCUCGCCGGUGCACUUUGCCAGCCCAGGCCAGCAUCAGUUUGCUGCGGGGGAUAAAGGUUUCGGGAACGUAGCUCCUCGGAGUGUUAUAGCCCGUUGCGUAAUACCCUGUGGUGGACUGAGGUUCGCGCAUCUGCAAGGAUGCUGGCGUAAUGGUCAUCAACGACCCGUCUUGAAACACGGACCAAGGAGUCGUCUUCGUAUGCGAGUGUUCGGGUGUCAAACCCCUACGCGUAAUGAAAGUGAACGGAGGUGGGAGCCUCGGCGCACCAUCGACCGAUCCUGAUGUUUUCGGAUGGAUUUGAGUAAGAGCAUACGGGGCCGGACCCGAAAGAAGGUGAACUAUGCCUGUAUAGGGUGAAGCCAGAGGAAACUCUGGUGGAGGCUCGCAGCGGUUCUGACGUGCAAAUCGAUCGUCAAAUAUGGGCAUGGGGGCGAA